rnacentral:rRNA from 1 species
GUGGGGAAUAUUGGACAAUGGGCGAAAGCCUGAUCCAGCCAUGCCGCGUGUGUGAAGAAGGUCUUCGGAUUGUAAAGCACUUUAAGUUGGGAGGAAGGGCAGUAAGUUAAUACCUUGCUGUUUUGACGUUACCGACAGAAUAAGCACCGGCUAACUUCGUGCCAGCAGCCGCGGUAAUACGAAGGGUGCAAGCGUUAAUCGGAAUUACUGGGCGUAAAGCGCGCGUAGGUGGUUUUGUAAGUUGGAGGUGAAAUCCCCGGGCUCAACCUGGGAACUGCCUACAAAACUGCAUGACUAGAGUACGGUAGAGGGUAGUGGAAUUUCCUGUGUAGCGGUGAAAUGCGUAGAUAUAGGAAGGAACACCAGUGGCGAAGGCGACUACCUGGACUGAUACUGACACUGAGGUGCGAAAGCGUGGGGAGCAAACAGGAUUAGAUACCCGUGUAGUCC